AUGCUGAAACUGUUAUCAUCAGUCUGUAACUACAGAUCUUUUCAUUAUGAAUGGACUGACAGCGUUAAUCAGAGUGAUUUACUGCUGGAUCUUUACUCACAUGUGAAGAACUAUGAGACUCAAACAGGCAGGAGUUUUCUUCCAGCAUUACAGUCAGUUUUUCAGUCACCUGAUGUCUGGAUCAUCGAUCUCUCACAGAGAAAGAUCUCUGUCCUCCUGGAAGUGCUCAAACUCCAAACAAAGAAGAAACAAGUAGAGCUGAGAGGAUGUUCAGAGCAAGAGAGUGAAAUGAAGAGUUUCCUGCAGUGUCUGCAACACAUCUCACAGCUGAGGUUUUGGAUCGAUGAUGAAGAAAGAACAUCUGCAGUAAGAUUCCUGCUGAAUCUCAGCGCCUCUGCAGUAAGAAAUGACACAAAUACAGGAACAAAAUUCUCUUCUUUGCUAUCAUCUGUGUGCAGUUACAAUACCUUCCCUUUUGGUGAAGAAUGGGAUGAUUAUAUUGCUGUUGAGCAGAGUGAUUUCCUGCUGGAUCUUUGCUCACAUGUGAAGAACUAUGAGAAUCAAACAGGCAGGAGUUUUCUUCCAGCAUUACAGUCAGUUUUUCAGUCACCUGAUGUCUGGAUCAUAGAUCUCUCACAGAGAAAGAGCUCUGUUCUCCUGGAAGUGCUCAAACUCCAAACAAAGAAGAAACCAGUAAAGCUGAGAGGAUGUUCAGAGGAAGAGAGUGAAAUGAUGAGUUUCCUGCAGUGUCUGCAACACAUCUCACAGCUGAGGUACAUGAACUUACAUGAACUUGACUCAGAAUUUAAAUUUGAUAAGCAAAUAAAUUUGGUGGCCAAAAAAGAAAUAAUUAAUUAAUUUGAGACUUCUAGCAAAGAUGAAGCCCUUGCUUUCUUUUAGGGACUUGGAGAUAGUUAAUCAUGCCUUUUUCGCGCUCUUAGACUACUGUAAUUCUCUCUAUAUGGGAGUUGGUCAGAAAGCUCUGGUACGUAUACAGACAGUUCAAAAUGCACCUGAGAGAUUGCUGACUGGCACUCGAAAGCGUGAUCAUACUACACCCAUCCAGUCUUAUCUCAAAUGGUCGCCCGUCUGUCUCCGAAUUGAAUAAAACUUUUAUUGUUUGUUUUUAAAUCUCUGAA
ensembl:lncRNA